AAUGCCUUUUUCCAAAGAGCCAGAGACCGAGAGCAGGGACCUGCUCAUUUGAUUUCAGCACUAGCAGGUCUCUGGAGAAGAUAAUGAAAGGUGCUCAGAAAAGGGUAGGUUUCUACUCUGUAUAUCUCAGCAGGGGGCCAUACUACACACAGAACUCCAAGAAACUUCAGGAAAGAGCCAGAGGUUCAAAUAUUUUAAAAAGGGGUUUUUUGGUUUGUGAAGUCUGCUGGUUGAUUGGAGAACAUGAAUAUCAGGUGAGCUUCCUUCUGACCUUGAAGUAAGCCUCAUUUUCUCGUCUGCUUGGUAACCAAGUUGAAGUGUUUCUGCUUAGCUACAUAUUUUAGAUCUCACCCUUUAUGUCUCAUUCAGGAUUCUGAAGGCAUGUCCAUUGAGACACACUGGACACGCAAAUGUGUGUGGUGGAAGUGGUUAAUCUUCACUUUGUUGGACUGGAAGUUGUUCCGAUGUUAUGAAAGUGGAUCAUGUGCUCGUGUGGUGGGGACCUGUUUCAUCCGGCUCAGCUCGUCCACACUGUGCAGCAAAAUGAAUCAUGCCACACUUGAUCUUGCUGGACCAGUUCCUCCACACUUUUUAUUUUUCCUUUUGCUACAGGCAAUCAGCAGUCACCUCCCUAUAAGAAGUGGAGCUGUUGUGUGUAACCUAAAUUGCACUGAAUUCCUUAAGUCUGUCAGAUUCUAAACCAGUUUGGUUUUCACAGUAAGACAGCAUCGCGAUGCCGCUGAUGUUGGCCCUCCUUGUUGUCCACAUAUACUCAAUCCAGCAGCCUCUGCGCUGAGUGUCUGUCUCAGGACUUGCUGAAAGGACUGAAUCUCUGCAGUGUGGACGUUUACACCCUGCAAUCCUGUAAGCAGACUCUCAAAACUGGUGGAAAGCCUUGACCUGUUUUCUGUGCAUGCAAGAUUACUCAGAAGGAAUUAAGUUCAAGCAAGGAACAAGGAGGCGUCCUGUACACUGCAGCCGGAGUGCUGAAACGUUUGAUCUACACAAACACAGCUUACGGGGGAAGAUCGCAGAUUGUUCUGAGUCAGCUGAGAUGUGCUAUUUCUACGCAUAGCCCAGUCCACAAGCCCUCCUUAGAGAUGCCUCCAUUCCGUGGAUUGAGUAGUUUGGGGUGUUGGGGGGCUUGGAUUUUGGUCCUCAUUUCUGGCCCUAAGUAACUCUGUGAUUUAGGGAAUUGCAUGUUAUUUCUGUUUCUUCAUUUGUAAAAUGGCAGGAAAGGGGGGUGUGAGACACAGGUAAGAAAGAGGGCUUCUCUACCCUAGACAAUUCAUUUCCACAGAGACAACGGAGAGAGUUAAACACGAGUUCAAAACGAAACAGGGAAAACUGCUGAAGUCAAUCAAGGUGAUGUGGUCAAUACACGAAUCGAAGGGCUAAGAAGGAAAGUCGGAGGGUGUGUAAACGUAAAUCUUGACGUAACGCAAUGCUACCAAAUAUUUUUCUAAUGCUUUCUCCUCUCCCUCUUCUUCAAUUUGCUGUUUGUAAAUGUAAAU
ensembl:lncRNA